AGUGAUCAGAAGUGAGAAUGUUGACAUGAGUAGCGACAAACAGGGUGAGAGACCCUGUCGCCGAAAGUCCAAGGGUUCCUGCUUAAAGCUAAUCUGAGCAGGGUAAGCCGGCCCCUAAGGCGAGGCCGAAAGGCGUAGUCGAUGGGAACCAGGUUAAUAUUCCUGGGCCAGGAGAUGGUGACGGAUCGCAGAGCUAGUUCUUCCUUAUCGGAUUGGAAGGGCUGGUGAGUGGUUCCUGGAAAUAGCCCUCCAUGAGACCGUACCCUAAACCGACACAGGUGGACUGGUAGAGAAUACCAAGGCGCUUGAGAGAACCACAUUUAAGGAACUCGGCAAAAUACCUCCGUAAGUUCGCGAGAAGGAGGCCCCGUUGGCAGGCAACUGUUGGCGGGGGGCACAAACCAGGGGGUGGCGACUGUUUACUAAAAACACAGGGCUCUGCGAAGUCGUAAGACGACGUAUAGGGUCUGACGCCUGCCCGGUGCCGGAAGGUUAAAAGGAGAUGUGCAAGCAUUGAAUUGAAGCCCCGGUAAACGGCGGCCGUAACUAUAACGGUCCUAAGGUAGCGAAAUUCCUUGUCGGGUAAGUUCCGACCUGCACGAAUGGCGUAACGACUUCCCCGCUGUCUCAAAUGUGGACUCAGCGAAAUUGAAUUGUCUGUGAAGAUGCAGACUUCCCGCGGUUAGACGGAAAGACCCCAUGCACCUUUACUAUAGCUUCGCACUGGCAUCAGGAUUGUGAUGUGCAGGAUAGGCGGUAGGCUGAAGCGGGAACGCUAGUUCCCGUGGAGCCAUCCUUGAGAUACCGCCCUUCGCACUCUUGAUGUCUAACCGCGGCCCGUUAUCCGGGUCCGGGACCCUGCGUGGUGGGUAGUUUGACUGGGGCGGUCGCCUCCCAAACAGUAACGGAGGCGCGCGAAGGUUGGCUCAGACCGGUCGGAAAUCGGUCGUUGAGUGCAAUGGCAGAAGCCAGCCUGACUGCAAGACUGACAAGUCGAGCAGAGACGAAAGUCGGUCAUAGUGAUCCGGUGGUCCCGAGUGGAAGGGCCAUCGCUCAACGGAUAAAAGGUACGCUGGGGAUAACAGGCUGAUGAUGCCCAAGAGUCCAUAUCGACGGCAUCGUUUGGCACCUCGAUGUCGGCUCAUCUCAUCCUGGGGCUGGAGCAGGUCCCAAGGGUAUGGCUGUUCGCCAUUUAAAGAGGUACGUGAGCUGGGUUUAGAACGUCGUGAGACAGUUCGGUCCCUAUCUGCCGUGGGUGUAGGAUACUUGAGAGGAGUUGCCCCUAGUACGAGAGGACCGGGGUGAACGUUCCACUGGUGGACCAGUUGUCGUGCCAACGGCAGUGCUGGGUAGCUAUGAACGGACAGGAUAAACGCUGAAGGCAUCUAAGCGUGAAGCCCCCCUCGAAACCAGGUAUCCCUUGAGAGCCGUGGAAGACCACCACGUCGAUAGGCCGGAGAUGUAAGCGCAGCAAUGCGUUCAGUUGACCGCUACUAAUGGCU
rnacentral:rRNA from 1 species